GGCCGCUUAGCUCAGCCUGGUAGAGCACCGUCUUGAUAAGGCGGGGGUCGUUGGAUCGAAGCCAACAGCGGCUA
rnacentral:tRNA from 1 species